UGGGGAAUUUUGGACAAUGGGGGAAACCCUGAUCCAGCCAUCCCGCGUGUGCGAUGAAGGCCUUCGGGUUGUAAAGCACUUUUGGCAGGAAAGAAACGUCAUGGGUUAAUACCCCGUGAAACUGACGGUACCUGCAGAAUAAGCACCGGCUAACUACGUGCCAGCAGCCGCGGUAAUACGUAGGGUGCAAGCGUUAAUCGGAAUUACUGGGCGUAAAGCGUGCGCAGGCGGUUCGGAAAGAAAGAUGUGAAAUCCCAGAGCUCAACUUUGAAACUGCAUUUUUAACUACCGGGCUAGAGUGUGUCAGGGGGAGGUGGAAUUCCGCGUGUAGCAGUGAAAUGCGUAGAUAUGCGGAGGAACACCGAUGGCGAAGGCAGCCUCCUGGGAUAACACUGACGCUCAUGCACGAAAGCGUGGGGAGCAAACAGG
rnacentral:rRNA from 1 species